GAUGAACGCUGGCGGCGUGCCUAAUACAUGCAAGUCGAGCGAACAGACGAGGAGCUUGCUCCUCUGACGUUAGCGGCGGACGGGUGAGUAACACGUGGAUAACCUACCUAUAAGACUGGGAUAACUUCGGGAAACCGGAGCUAAUACCGGAUAAUAUAUUGAACCGCAUGGUUCAAUAGUGAAAGACGGUUUUGCCGUCACUUAUAGAUGGAUCCGCGCCGCAUUAGCUAGUUGGUAAGGUAACGGCUUACCAAGGCGACGAUGCGUAGCCGACCUGAGAGGGUGAUCGGCCACACUGGAACUGAGACACGGUCCAGACUCCUACGGGAGGCAGCAGUAGGGAAUCUUCCGCAAUGGGCGAAAGCCUGACGGAGCAACGCCGCGUGAGUGAUGAAGGUCUUCGGAUCGUAAAACUCUGUUAUUAGGGAAGAACAAAUGUGUAAGUAACUAUGCACGUCUUGACGGUACCUAAUCAGAAAGCCACGGCUAACUACGUG
rnacentral:rRNA from 1 species